rnacentral:rRNA from 1 species
GAUGAACGCUAGCGGGAGGCCUAACACAUGCAAGCCGAGCGGUAUUGUUUCUUCGGAAAUGAGAGAGCGGCGUACGGGUGCGGAACACGUGUGCAACCUGCCUUUAUCUGGGGGAUAGCCUUUCGAAAGGAAGAUUAAUACUCCAUAAUAUAUUGAACGGCAUCGUUUAAUAUUGAAAGCUCCGGCGGAUAGAGAUGGGCACGCGCAAGAUUAGCUAGUUGGUGAGGUAACGGCUCACCAAGGCGAUGAUCUUUAGGGGGCCUGAGAGGGUGAUCCCCCACACUGGUACUGAGACACGGACCAGACUCCUACGGGAGGCAGCAGUGAGGAAUACUGGUCAAUGGGUGCAAGCCUGAACCAGCCAUCCCGCGUGAAGGACGACUGCCCUAUGGGUUGUAAACUUCUUUUGUAUAGGGAUAAACCUACCCUCGUGAGGGUAGCUGAAGGUACUAUACGAAUAAGCACCGGCUAACUCCGCGCCAGCAGCCGCGGUAAUACGGAGGGUGCAAGCGUUAUCCGGAUUUAUUGGGUUUAAAGGGUCCGUAGGCGGACUUAUAAGUCAGUGGUGAAAGCCUGUCGCUUAACGAUAGAACUGCCAUUGAUACUGUAAGUCUUGAGUAUAUUUGAGGUAGCUGGAAUAAGUAGUGUAGCGGUGAAAUGCAUAGAUAUUACUUAGAACACCAAUUGCGAAGGCAGGUUACCAAGAUAUAACUGACGCUGAGGGACGAAAGCGUGGGGAGCGAACAGGAUUAGAUACCCUGGUAGUCCACGCCGUAAACGAUGCUAACUCGUUUUUGGGCUUUAGGGUUCAGAGACCAAGCGAAAGUGAUAAGUUAGCCACCUGGGGAGUACGCUCGCAAGAGUGAAACUCGAAGGAAUUGACGGGGGCCCGCACAAGCGGUGGAUUAUGUGGUUUAAUUCGAUGAUACGCGAGGAACCUUACCAAGACUUAAAUGGGAAUUGACAGCUUUAGAAAUAGAGCUUUCUUCAGACAAUUUUCAAGGUGCUGCAUGGUUGUCGUCAGCUCGUGCCGUGAGGUGUUAGGUUAAGUCCUGCAACGAGCGCAACCCCUGUCACUAGUUGCCAUCAUUCAGUUGGGGACUCUAGUGAGACUGCCUACGCAAGUAGAGAGGAAGGUGGGGAUGACGUCAAAUCAUCACGGCCCUUACGUCUUGGGCCACACACGUAAUACAAUGGCCGGUACAGAGGGCAGCUACACAGCGAUGUGAUGCAAAUCUCGAAAGCCGGUCUCAGUUCGGAUUGGAGUCUGCAACUCGACUCUAUGAAGCUGGAAUCGCUAGUAAUCGCGCAUCAGCCAUGGCGCGGUGAAUACGUUCCCGGGCCU